GUGGCAGGGAGGGUGUUUCCAGAAAGUGAGAUUUUUUCCAAUAUGCUAUUUAUUAAAAGUAUUUAAAAUGAACAUCUGACAGGAGGACACUUUUAUGUGAAAGAAUUUACUUGUCAAGGGGACUCACACUUUGCUACUAAAAUAGGAUAUUGCAAAUAUAUUUAACAUGUAAGAUCAAAGCCUAUAAGUUCUCAUAAGACUCUUAAAAUUAAUUUUCUUGGCAUUUAAAGAGCAUGCACACCAAAGAGAGUGGAGGAAGUUUUAUUUCUGUUUGCCUUGUGUGGUGAGUUGCUGGAGAAGACAGAAGGCAUGCUAGAAUUAGUCAAACCCUUAGAAGAUGGAUCUAAAUCAAGACACAAGUAAGGCAUGAUGUGAAGUCCAUCACAAACAGAGCUGGAUGGAGGACCUUAUCUAGCCUUUUGGCGUAUUUUACAAGCUAUUAACCCAAUGAAUACAUUGGGACAUUACUCAAUGUCUAACUUAAGACACAAAAAAUAAACGUGAAAUCAAAUUGCACUGGUAGAAAACAUGAA